rnacentral:rRNA from 1 species
UGGGGAAUUUUGCACAAUGGGGGAAACCCUGAUGCAGCGACGCCGCGUGAUUUAGAAGGCCUUCGGGUUGUAAAAAUCUUUUCUAUGGGAAGAAAAUGACAGUACCAUAGGAAUAAGGACCGGCUAAUUACGUGCCAGCAGCCGCGGUAAUACGUAAGGUCCGAGCGUUGUCCGGAAUCAUUGGGCGUAAAGGGUACGUAGGCGGGUAAGCAAGUUAGAAGUGAAAUCCUAUAGCUCAACUAUAGUAAGCUUUUAAAACUGCUCAUCUUGAGGUAUGGAAGGGAAAGGGGAAUUCCUAGUGUAGCGGUGAAAUGCGCAGAUAUUAGGAGGAAUACCGGUGGCGAAGGCGACUUUCUGGCCAUAACCUGACGCUGAGGUACGAAAGCGUGGGUAGCAAACAGG